CACAUGCAAGCAUCCCCGUUCCAGUGA
rnacentral:piRNA from 1 species